rnacentral:rRNA from 1 species
AUAUCAGUCAUGCAUAGCAUAUCAAUAAGCGGAGGAAAAGAAACUAACAAGGAUUCCCCUAGUAACGGCGAGUGAAGCGGGAAGAGCUCAAAUUUGAAAUCUUAAAGGGUUUCCCUUUACGAAUUGUAGUUUAAAGAAGUGUUUUCUGUUGGAGUUUCGGUAAAAGUUCUUUGGAAUAGGACAUCAUAGAGGGUGAGAAUCCCGUAUUUGACCGUUACUUUCCAGCUGUGUGAUACACUUUCAAAGAGUCGGAUUGUUUGGGAAUGCAGUCCAAAAUGGGUGGUAAAUUUACAUCUAAAGCUAAAUAUUGGCGAGAGAGCCGAUAGCGAACAAGUACCGUGAGGGAAAGAUGAAAAGAACUUUGAAAAGAGAGUUAAACAGUACGUGAAAUUGUCAAAAGGGAAGCGUUUGACACCAGUGUUGUUUUAGUUGAAAAUCAAUUCAAGAAUGUUUUGAUUUUGAGGAGUAUUGACUUCAUCAGCUUGCUGCUUUCUUUUCAGAAAUUAUUGAAUGCACUUUUCAGUUAACAAGUCAACAUCAAUUUCUUUUGUUGUAAAAGGGUAAGAGGAAGGUGGCUUACUCUUCGGCGUAAAGUGUAUUAUAGCCUUGUACCUCUGCAAUCGGAGAGAUUGAGGUACUGCAGCGUAGACUCUUCGGGGUUAGAUACACUUGUGCUAAGCUAUAGCCUUGUAUAGACAACUUGUUGACUAUGCUCAGUCAUGUAGCUUACUCGCUUAUGCUAUUUUACCUACGCUUAGGAUGUUGAUCUCUCACAGUCGAGC